AUUGAACGCUGGCGGCAUGCUUUACACAUGCAAGUCGAACGGUAACAGGUUAAGCUGACGAGUGGCGAACGGGUGAGUAAUGCAUCGGAACGUGCCCGGUCGUGGGGGAUAACGCAGCGAAAGCUGCGCUAAUACCGCAUACGAUCUGAGGAUGAAAGCGGGGGACCGUAAGGCCUCGCGCGAUCGGAGCGGCCGAUGUCAGAUUAGGUAGUUGGUGGGGUAAAGGCUCACCAAGCCAACGAUCUGUAGCUGGUCUGAGAGGACGACCAGCCACACUGGGACUGAGACACGGCCCAGACUCCUACGGGAGGCAGCAGUGGGGAAUUUUGGACAAUGGGCGCAAGCCUGAUCCAGCAAUGCCGCGUGCAGGAAGAAGGCCUUCGGGUUGUAAACUGCUUUUGUACGGAGCGAAAAGGCUCCCUCUAAUACAGGGGGCUCAUGUCGGUACCGUAAGAAUAAGCACCGGCUAACUACGUGCCAGCCGCCGCGGUAA
rnacentral:rRNA from 1 species